AACGAGCUGCUCACACCAGGAUUGCUUUCACAUGGAGCUUGCAAAGGGCUAGCCUGACAAGGCCAGCCAUUGAUUCCAGGAGAGCAGGCUUCAUUUUAUGAGGCCCUUCUUUAUAAUUUUUCUACCUUACUGCAUCAGGACAUGCAUCACAUGAGAAUGGAGUUUGUCAGGAAUCACCAAACCGAUGGCUGAGAGAAGGAAACGAAGCAUCAGAUAUUCUUGCUAGCCAGAGAAGAGGGAACAGAAGCAAAUCAGCUUGGGCUGUAGCAAGAAGCCCCACAGUGCUUGGCUUGGCUCAGCUCAGCUCACAGAGCCCCACCACGUGCCUGUUCAACAUGUCCAAGGCAAGUUUCUAUUGCUGCUGAACCAGGCCCAGAGAAAGCAGGGAAGUGUGGCCAAAAUGUGGGGGUACCCAUCACUCCUCACCUCCAAGAGACUCUAACUGCCAUGUGGAUCAGCAGCUCAGUCCUGGAAGCACAUGGGUUCUUAGGUGGCUUUUGGGACCAUAAAGCCAAAAGUGGUGGGAAGGUCAUUCCUGUGACCAGAUAAAGGUCAGUCAGCCUUUCAGUUGUCCUAAUUAAGGAGCUCACAGUUUUGAUCAGGGUACAGACACAGCCACAGUAGUGUCUGUACUCUUUAUUUCAGUGACAGGAAGAGAACAGUGGUGGUGUUGAGAUUCUCUUAAGAGAGUGACACACUUUGAGGUUAGGUCUAGGGGCACCCAUUUUGUGUUUGUCAGCUGGAGUAGUAAGAGCCAGAGACUGGCAGAGUUUCCCAUUGGAUUCUGCUCCCUUGUCUUCUGCAGAAGUGUCACCUUUUUGUACUUCACUUUUUCCACACUUAUCUUCAAAAACAUAAAGAUAAAUAAAAUUUUCCCUCCUUG